rnacentral:rRNA from 1 species
GCCUGAACCGGGCCAGACUCCUACGGGAGGCAGCAGUGAGGAAUUUUGCGCAAUGGCCGCAAGGCUGACGCAGUAACGCCGCGUGGGUGAUGAAGGCCUUCGGGUCGUAAAGCCCUGUCAGGUGGGAAGAAUGGCCAAGGGGUGAAUAUCCCCUUGGAUUGACGGUACCACCAGAGGAAGCACCGGCUAACUCCGUGCCAGCAGCCGCGGUAAUACGGAGGGUGCAAGCGUUAUUCGGAAUUACUGGGCGUAAAGCGCGUGCAGGCGGGUCGGCAAGUCUGAUGUGAAAGCCCCGGGCUCAACCUGGGAAGUGCAUUGGAAACUGCCGGUCUUGAGUUCUGGAGAGGAAGGGGGAAUUCCCGGUGUAGAGGUGAAAUUCGUAGAGAUCGGGAGGAAUACCAGUGGCGAAGGCGCUCUUCUGGACGGCAACUGACGCUGAGACGCGAAAGCGUGGGGAGCAAACAGGAUUAGAUACCCUGGUAGUCCACGCUGUAAACGAUGAGCACUAGGUGUAGCGGGUACUCAUUCCUGCUGUGCCGCAGCUAACGCGUUAAGUGCUCCGCCUGGGGAUUACGGUCGCAAGACUAAAACUCAAAGGAAUUGACGGGGGCCCGCGCAAGCGGUGGAGUAUGUGGUUUAAUUCGACGCAACGCGAAGAACCUUACCUGGGCUUGACAUCCCCGGACAUGCGUAGAAAUACGUCCUUCUCCUUCGGGAGACAGGGAGACAGGUGCUGCAUGGCUGUCGUCAGCUCGUGUCGUGAGAUGUUGGGUUAAGUUGCCGCAACGAGCGCAACCCCUGCCCUUAGUUGCCAGCACGUUAAGGUGGGCACUCUAGGGGGACUGCCGCAGUGAAUGCGGARGAAGGUGGGGAUGACGUCAAGUCCUCAUGGCCUUUAUGUCCAGGGCUACACACGUACUACAAUGGGCGGUACAAAGGGAAGCGAGGCAGCGAUGCGGAGCCAAUCCCAAAAAGCCGUUCCCAGUUCGGAUCGGAGUCUGCAACUCGACUCCGUGAAGUUGGAAUCGCUAGUAAUCCCGGAUCACCAUGCCGCGGU